AUUCUCCCAGGGAGGGACCUGAAGAAUCAGACAGCUCCAUCUAUUUAGGGUUCCCCUGCACCUCCCUUGCUCCUCUGAAUCCGAUCAGCUCUGUAGAAAGCAACCAAGUUUCUUCUGUGAAGCCUCCCUACACCCAGCAUGGGAUCAAAGUAGUGAAACGGAGCCUAGCUGCCAUGAGAUGUUCCCGCCGUCUGCUUCUUCCUCCUUGUUCCUGUCUCUGCACACGUCUUAGCGUUCUUCCUUGUUCAUCUCUGUAGGGUGCAGAUGGGACCAUUGCCAUGAUCACCACCGUCAGAGUCCACUUACUGAACGCCUGCCCUGUGCUAACCACCACGUUUGCAACUUGACAUGAACUACGUCAUAUACUCCUCACAAAACCUAGCGAAGCAGAAGUAUCGCCCCGCUUUAAUGAUGGUGACACUGAGGCAAAGACAGUUUAACAGGCUGGCCAAAGCCCGCACAGAUGAGUGGGUCUUUGAACUGUAAGCUUCUCUCUUCUGAAGGGAAUUUAGAACCUUCAGAAAAAUUGUGACAGAGGCACAGGGUCUCCCUGAGUUGUCCAGGCUGGCCUUGAACUCGUGCUCCUCCUGGCUAACUGGGAUCACAGGCAUACACCGUAGCAUCUGGCUCAAUACCCUCCUUCCCACCACCGGGAAACUACUGUUCUCCACAGCUUUCUCCAACUGCCAGGAAUCUCAUCACUCCCAACGGUAUCUUUCUUGUGUCCUUUUCAGCAAGUGGAAGGGAGGCUUAGCAAAGUCUCAGCACCAGCUAUACUCUGAAGGCAGGGAAACCGUUUGCUUCUCUUUUUCCAACACUCAGCUUCGGUGUCUAAGCCACGGUCCAGUCCUUUGGAAGGAGCUGGGUAAUACGUUGUUAACUGGAAAACAAGCAAUCUUCACUUCCUGUCUCUUCAAGUCAGCAGUCCAGGGAUCAGGACCACAAACCUGUCUCUGGGACAGGCCCGAAGAGAUGGUGGCCUUUAGGUGGGCAGAGAAGAGAGCUGUCAGCGUCCAAGAAAGCCAAGGUCUGGGCAGCCUCCCAGAUGCCUAGGAGCUUUUCCUCUUGCAAUCCGUGCCCCAUGGGACACGUUCCUCCUCCUCAGGGUGGAUCAGACCGACUGACUCACCUCUAACACACUUUGGCCAGACCGAUGGCAUCAUGAAAGCCUACGAAGACACUCCAGGUCCAUCGCAGAGCUCCCUCCCCACGCGGCCUCUUAAAUCAUGUGUUCUCGGGGAAUUUAUCUACCCUGCCGUGAACAGCACCAUCAAAGGGUCACCUGGAAUGUAAACUAGUACAACCAUCGUGGGUGUUGGUAUGGGGAGGACUCGAAAAACUAAAAGCAGGUAUCUUCCCAAAAGAGUUAAAGUCACACAUUAUAGUAAUACAGGCAACCCAUGUAUAUAGCAGCAGAACCCAUAAUAGAUGAAUCUUGACAGUGGCCUAUGUGUCCAUCAGCAGACGAGUAGAUAAAGAAUAUGUGGUACUUAUACACAAUGGAGUUCUGCUCUGCCAUAAAGAAAGAUACACUUGAGUCAUUUAUACAAAAAUGGAUGGAUCUUCAGACCAUAAUGCUAGGUCUAAUAAAUCAGACACAGAGGGUUAAAUAUCACAUGGUUUCCCUUACAUGACACUCAGAGUAUAAAUAAUUUAAAGAGAAAAAUAAAGAGAGAUGGUGGGAAAUAAGGCAGUAGACUGCGUGGAGAUGGGAAGAGGGUCUUGAGUAAGAGAAAAGGGGAGGCAGGGAGGGAGGGAUUGAAAUGAUCAAGACGCGACGUGUACAUGUACCAACUCCCCAGAUAAACGGCAUUGUUGUUUAUCACAAACGUGUGAAUCAAAAAGGAAAUGCCCGUGUGAUGCGCAACUCCAGACUUGCAGCAGGCAGACGCACUGUGAGGAGCUCGUGACUCAGUCGUGACCUGGGCCACUGUCCUGGGUGCUUCUGCCUCAGCCUCAGGAGAGAUGCCAAGCUAGAAGGACCCCACUGAGCCCCCAGAUUCCUGACCCACAGAGAUGCAGGUUCAUGCGAGCUUGUUGUUUUAAACCCCAGGAUCUGAGAUAAGUUCCUACGAAGUAUAGAUGUCUAAUACAUUAAAUUAGUUUUCAUGAUGGUUUUUCUCUUCCUGUAAGAUUAUUCAUUUCCUUUGUUGGCUAAUCUGCCUGUUCUAUGUCGCUUAGAUGGCUACUUAUUUUAGACACACAUUACAGGCAGGACAGAAUGCUUUACCCAGCCAGAAAGAAAUGUCAACACAUCAAAUUACAAUCUAGUUUCCUAUGUUAUUGGUAUGAGAAGAAUAAUAAAUUUGACUUGUUCAAGUAGAAAGAAAUGGC
ensembl:lncRNA